UACGGAGGGUGCGAGCGUUACCCGGAUUUACUGGGUGUAAAGGGCGUGUAGGCGGUUUCUCAAGUCCGGUGCUAAAGACCGAAGCUCAACUUCGGGAGUGCGCUGGAUACUGUGAAGCUAGACGGUCGGAGAGGGUAGCGGAAUUCUCGGAGUAGCGGUGAAAUGCGCAGAUACCGAGAGGAACGCCAAUAGCGAAAGCAGCUACCUGGACGAUUUGUGACGCUGAGGCGCGAAAGCGUGGGGAGCAAACCGG
rnacentral:rRNA from 1 species